UACAGAGGGUGCGAGCGUUAAUCGGAAUUACUGGGCGUAAAGCGUGCGUAGACGGUUAUUUAAGUCGGGUGUGAAAGCCCCGGGCUCAACCUGGGAAUUGCAUUCGAGACUGAAUAGCUAGGGUACGGUAGAGGGAAGUGGAAUUUCCGGUGUAGCGGUGAAGUGCGUAGAUAUCGGAAGGAACAUCAGUGGCGAAAGCGACUUCCUGGACCAGUACCGACGUUCAGGCACGAAAGCGUGGGGAGCAACAGGA
rnacentral:rRNA from 1 species